CACGUAGGGCGCAAGCGUUGUCCGGAAUUAUUGGGCGUAAAGAGCUCGUAGGCGGUCUGUUGCGUCCGCUGUGAAAACUCGGGGCUUAACCCCGAGCCUGCAGUGGAUACGGGCAGACUAGAGGUAGGUAGGGGAGAAUGGAAUUCCCGGUGUAGCGGUGGAAUGCGCAGAUAUCGGGAGGAACACCGGUGGCGAAGGCGGCUCUCUGGGCCUUACCUGACGCUGAGGAGCGAAAGCGUGGGGAGCGAACAGG
rnacentral:rRNA from 1 species